rnacentral:rRNA from 1 species
UACGUAGGGGGCUAGCGUUGUCCGGAAUCAUUGGGCGUAAAGAGCUCGUAGGCGGUCUGUUGCGUCCGCUGUGAAAACUCGGGGCUUAACCCCGAGCCUGCAGUGGAUACGGGCAGACUAGAGGUAGGUAGGGGAGAAUGGAAUUCCCGGUGUAGCGGUGAAAUGCGCAGAUAUCAGGAAGAACACCCGUGGCUAAGGCGGCUCUCUAGUACGGUACUGACGCUGAGACGCGAAAGCGUGGGGAGCGAACAGG